GAUGAACGCUAGCUACAGGCUUAACACAUGCAAGUCGAGGGGAAACGAUAUUGGAAGCUUGCUUCCGAUAGGCGUCGACCGGCGCACGGGUGAGUAACGCGUAUCCAACCUGCCCACCACUUGGGGAUAACCUUGCGAAAGUAAGACUAAUACCCAAUGAUAUCUCAAGAAGACAUCUGAAUGAGAUUAAAGAUUUAUCGGUGAUGGAUGGGGAUGCGUCUGAUUAGCUUGUUGGCGGGGUAACGGCCCACCAAGGCUACGAUCAGUAGGGGUUCUGAGAGGAAGGUCCCCCACAUUGGAACUGAGACACGGUCCAAACUCCUACGGGAGGCAGCAGUGAGGAAUAUUGGUCAAUGGGCGAGAGCCUGAACCAGCCAAGUAGCGUGCAGGAUGACGGCCCUAUGGGUUGUAAACUGCUUUUAUAAGGGAAUAAAGUGAGCCUCGUGAGGCUUUUUGCAUGUACCUUAUGAAUAAGGACCGGCUAAUUCCGUGCCAGCAGCCGCCGCCG
rnacentral:rRNA from 1 species